rnacentral:rRNA from 1 species
CAGGACGAACGCUGGCGGCGUGCCUAACACAUGCAAGUCGAACGGGGAUUUGUUUCGGCAGAAUCCUAGUGGCGAACGGGUGAGUAACGCGUAGGCAACCUGCCCUCCGGCCGGGGACAACACUCCGAAAGGGGUGCUAAUACCGGAUACGAAGUCUGUGCCGCAUGGUACGGAUUUGAAAGAUGGCCUCUAUUUAUAAGCUAUCGCCGGGGGAUGGGCCUGCGUCCGAUUAGCUGGUUGGUGGGGUAACGGCCUACCAAGGCGACGAUCGGUAGCCGGUCUGAGAGGAUGAACGGCCACAUUGGGACUGAGACACGGCCCAGACUCCUACGGGAGGCAGCAGUGGGGAAUCUUCCGCAAUGGGCGCAAGCCUGACGGAGCAACGCCGCGUGAGUGAGGAAGUUCUUCGGAACGUAAAGCUCUGUUGUUCCUGACGAACCUCCCUUCUAUCAACAACGGAGGGGACUGACGGUAGGGAACGAGGAAGCCACGGCUAACUACGUGCCAGCCGCCGC